UACAGAGGUCUCAGGCGUUGUUCGGAUUCAUUGGGCGUAAAGGGUGCGUAGGUGGCGCCGUAAGUCGGGUGUGAAAUUUCGGAGCUUAACUCCGAAACUGCAUUCGAUACUGCGGUGCUUGAGGACUGGAGAGGAGACUGGAAUUCAUGGUGUAGCAGUGAAAUGCGUAGAUAUCAUGAGGAAGACCAGUGGCGAAGGCGGGUCUCUGGACAGUUCCUGACACUGAGGCACGAAGGCCAGGGGAGCAAACGGG
rnacentral:rRNA from 1 species